AGAGUUUGAUCCUGGCUCAGAACGAACGCUGGCGGCGCGUCUUAAGCAUGCAAGUCGAGCGGCAAGGGUAGCAAUACCCCUAGAGCGGCGGACUGGUGAGUAACACGUGGGUGACCUACCCUUAGGUUGGGGAUAGCCGGUAGAAAUACCGGGUAAUACCGAAUGUGGUUACCGGGCUUUGGCCUGGUAAAGAAAGGAGCUACGGCUCCGCCUGAGGAUGGGCCCGCGUCCCAUUAGCUAGUUGGGGGUGUAACGGACCACCAAGGCGAUGAUGGGUAGCCGGCCUGAGAGGGUGAACGGCCACACUGGGACUGAGAUACGGCCCAGACUCCUACGGGAGGCAGCAGCUAAGAAUAUUCCGCAAUGGACGAAAGUCUGACGGAGCGACGCCGCGUGGAUGAUGAAGGCCGAAAGGUUGUAAAGUCCUUUUGUCGACGAAGAAUAAGUGUGGGAGGGAAUGCCCGCAUGAUGACGUUAGUCGGCGAAUAAGCCCCGGCUAAUUACGUGCCAGCAGCCGCGGUAACACGUAAGGGGCAAGCGUUGUUCGGAAUUAUUGGGCGUAAAGGGUACGUAGGCGGUUACGUAAGCCCGGCGUGAAAUACUGGAGCUCAACUCCAGAACUGCGUUGGGAACUGCGAGACUUGAGUCAUGGAAGGGGAGUUGGAAUUCCAGGUGUAGGGGUGAAAUCUGUAGAUAUCUGGAAGAACACCGGUGGCGAAGGCGAACUCCUGGCCAAUGACUGACGCUGAGGUACGAAAGUGCGGGGAGCAAACAGGAUUAGAUACCCUGGUAGUCCGCACAGUAAACGAUGUGCACUAGGUGUUGGGCCGAGCGGUUCAGUGCCGAAGCUAACGUGAUAAGUGCACCGCCUGGGGAGUAUGCCCGCAAGGGUGAAACUCAAAGGAAUUGACGG
rnacentral:rRNA from 1 species